UGAAGCCGCCGAUCUCAACAGUGUCCAAGUCCGGCUCAGUGUUCAAAGCGAUGGGGGUCGUUCCUUAUCUCUGUCUCCUCCUGUCUUGUCUGGCAGGCGUGCGGUCCGAAGUCGUGCUGACACAGCCCAAGUCAGCGGUGGCAAAGCCCGGACAGUCUCACACACUGACCUGUGCAUUCAGAGGGUUCAGCAGCUACUAUAGCGUGCACUGGGUGAAACAGGUCCCCGGGAAAGGGCUGGAGUGGCUGGCUAGGAUAGACUACGAUGACGAUAAAUAUUACGCGCCUGGAGUCCAGAGCCGGUUCACCAUUUCCAAGGGCGGCAGCACCGUCACUCUGCAAAUGACCAGCCUGAAACUGGACGACACGGCCACCUAUUACUGUGCGGGAUACACAGUGAGAGGAUCCGGGACUGGACCGGGACAAAAACCCAGCGAGAGCGCCUGCUCUUCGGGCGCUGAGAAAAAGGGCAGCAGUGAUCUUCCCGGCUUUACUGCGUCGCUCUGGAAUGGGAAGAGGGUUGUCAAUCGGGAUUCAUGA